rnacentral:rRNA from 1 species
GAUGAACGCUGGCGGCGUGCUUAACACAUGCAAGUCGAACGGACUUUUAAUGAAGCCUAGCGAUUUAAAAGUUAGUGGCGGACGGGUGAGUAACGCGUGGGUAACCUGCCUUAUACAGGGGGAUAACACUUAGAAAUAGGUGCUAAUACCGCAUAAGCGCACAGUAUCGCAUGAUACAGUGUGAAAAACUCCGGUGGUAUGAGAUGGACCCGCGUCUGAUUAGCUAGUUGGUGGGGUAACGGCCUACCAAGGCAACGAUCAGUAGCCGGCCUGAGAGGGUGAACGGCCACAUUGGGACUGAGACACGGCCCAAACUCCUACGGGAGGCAGCAGUCGGGAAUAUUGCGCAAUGGAGGAAACUCUGACGCAGUGACGCCGCGUAUAGGAAGAAGGUUUUCGGAUUGUAAACUAUUGUCGUUAGGGAAGAUACAAGACAGUACCUAAGGAGGAAGCCCCGGCUAACUAUGUG